UGUUUUACCCAUACUACCCUGAGAAUGCCCUAUUUGCUCUGAUCUCAAAAGUUAAGCAGUGCCAGGCUCAGGUCUUGUCUAAGGUAAAAUGA
rnacentral:rRNA from 14 species